rnacentral:rRNA from 1 species
AGCGGCGGAUGGGUGAGUAACACGUGGGGAACCUGCCCCUAAGUCUGGGAUACCAUUUGGAAACAGGUGCUAAUACCGGAUAAUAAAGCAGAUCGCAUGAUCAGCUUUUGAAAGGCGGCGUAAGCUGUCGCUAAGGGAUGGCCCCGCGGUGCAUUAGCUAGUUGGUAAGGUAACGGCUUACCAAGGCGACGAUGCAUAGCCGAGUAGAGAGACUGAUCGGCCACAUUGGGACUGAGACACGGCCCAAACUCCUACGGGAGGCAGCAGUAGGGAAUCUUCCACAAUGGACGCAAGUCUGAUGGAGCAACGCCGUGUGAGUGAAGAAGGUUUUCGGAUCGUAAAGCUCUGUUGUUGGUGAAGAAGGAUAGAGGUAGUAACUGGCCUUUAUUUGACGGUAAUCAACCAGAAAGUCACGGCUAACUACGUGCCAGCAGCCGCGGUAAUACGUAGGUGGCAAGCGUUGUCCGGAUUUAUUUGGCGUAAAGCGAGCGCAGGCGGAAAAAUAAGUCUAAUGUGAGAGCCCUCGGCUUAACCGAGGAACUGCAUCGGAAACUGUUCUUCUUGAGUGCAGAAGAGGAGAGUGGAACUCCAUGUGUAGCGGUGGAAUGCGUAGAUAUAUGGAAGAACACCAGUGGCGAAGGCGGCUCUCUGGUCUGCAACUGACGCUGAGGCUCGAAAGCAUGGGUAGCGAACAGGAUUAGAUACCCUGGUAGUCCAUGCCGUAAACGAUGAGUGCUAAGUGU